rnacentral:tRNA from 1 species
GAGUUAUAUUUUAUUAAGCCGCUAACUUAAUUGUUAACACAUAAAAACGUUAAUAGCUCU